UGGAUCAAUGAUGAUGUUUACUCAUUCAAGUUGAGCAUCUCUUAUCUGGAAUUCUGAAAUCCAA
ensembl:snoRNA